GCCAGAAGCCAUAUCACCCUGCAACUCACAACUGGCAACCCACUGAAGCUAAGCAGGUGUGAGCCUGGUCAGUACCUGGAUGGUAGACCUCCUGGGAAAAACUAAGGUUGCUGCUAGAA
ensembl:rRNA 5S_rRNA 5S ribosomal RNA